GCUGCAACUACUAGGUGUUGAGAUGCUUCAUGAGCAAGGAAUGUUUGUGGGCCCCCCCCAGGGCUCUGGGACACAGCAUAAAAGCCUGCGCUGCUCCAGGCUCUGCAUCCUCCUCUCUUGCCUCCCUUUCCUCGAGGAGCAAGCUUUGCCUCCCUCGCCGAGAGAUGUCUUGCUUCAGACCCUGUCUCCCAACGCCCUGCGGCGCCUCCGGCCCAACCCCACUUGCAAGCAGCUGCAGUGAGCCCUGUGUCGCCCGCUGCGCUGACUCGACGGUGGCCAUCCAGGCCUCCCCGGUGGUGGUGACCCUGCCGGGCCCCAUCCUCACCUCUUUCCCUCAGAGCACAGCCGUGGGAUCCUCGCUGUCAGCUGCUGUUGGGAGCUCCCUCAGCGCCGGGGGGGUUCCCAUCUCUUCUGGGGGCUCCCUUGGUCUGGGGGGGUCAGGGCUGUGUCUGCCUCCCACCCGCUGCGGUCUGAACUGCUGAAGCCAGCAGAUCAUCCCCUUUGGAGCACCAAGGAAGACGGGGAUCCUGCAGCAGCAGGAGCGUAGCCACGGCUUGCAGGUGGGCUGAGUGUCCUCAUCCCACCUGGCAGAAGGGACCUGUGCCUGCUGCUCCUCGCCGCACUGCAGGCCUCGCCGUGUCUCCUCUGGCUCUGCUUUGCUCUGAGCUCCUCAGGAAAGGGCUCGUUCUCUUCUGCUUUGCUGAACCUCCUGCUGACGGAGGGAGUGUGCCGGAGUUAGGGCCUGCUCUUGGUGGGCUGGCAUUGCCACCGGGUAGAUCGGAAUGGGGAAAGGCAAGCGCUUUGCCUGGAGCUUGUCCUUGGGAAAUGGGCCAUUCUCUGUGCCUCCCGGAACCCUGCAGACGUGCUUCUCGGUCUCUGUUCCGAGCCACUGCAUUUCCUCCUUCUCAUUAAAGACUUUGUGCAGCA